UUAUUACUCCUUCCGUCCGGAAAUACUUGUCAUCAAAAUGAAUAAAAGGGGAUGUAUCUAGAUGUAUUUUAGUUCUAGAUACAUCCUUUUUUGUCCAUUUUGAUGACAAGUAUUUUUGGACGGAGGGAGUACUAG
rnacentral:pre_miRNA from 1 species